rnacentral:misc_RNA from 1 species
GGAAAAAAUAAAAACUUCUACUUCUGUGCUCUUCACUUUUAUAUUUUCCACUACCAUUAAUUUCUUUGUCCUAAACUUCAACAUAUACACCAAACAUGCCUGCUCCAACCUCCUCCUCCUCUUCUUCUUCUUUCUGUGAUGUGGCACUAAUCUGUGCUCUCACCUCUGUCUCUCUUUGUUCUAUCGUGUUUUAAACCUAAGCUAUUUCUUUUUUU